rnacentral:rRNA from 1 species
UACGUAGGUGGCAAGCGUUGUCCGGAAUUAUUGGGCGUAAGCGCGCGCAGGCGGUCCUUUAAGUCUGAUGUGAAAGCCCACGGCUCAACCGUGGAGGGUCAUUGGAAACUGGGGGACUUGAGUACAGAAGAGGAAAGUGGAAUUCCACGUGUAGCGGAUGAAAUGCGUAGAGAUGUGGAGGAACACCAGUAGGCGAAGGCGACUACCUGGCCUGUUCUUGACGCUGAGGCGCGAAAGCUAGGGGAGCAAACGGG